AUUAUCACAGUGUGCAUCCUGUGUGGCAUAAGAUAAGAGUUGUACGAUGAGGGACAGCUAGUAUUUUAGAACAAGCAAGGACAGGAACUACAGCAUCACUCCUCACAGUAUGUCAUUCCGACUGGUUCGACAAAGCAAGUUCCGUCACGUAUAUGGCACCUGCUUAAAAAGGGAACAGUGCUUUGAUAAUAUUCGAGUAAGCAAGUCAUCAUGGGAUUCCACAUUCUGCGCCGUCAAUCCAAAGUUCUGCGCCAUUAUAGUAGAAUCAGGUGGAGGCGGAGCAUUCAUCGUACUACCACUCAGCAAAUUAAAUAAGACUACUAUUCUAUCGAAGAAAGCAUCGACGGCUGGGCGUAUACCCCCUGAUCAUCCACUGGUUGGUGGACACAAAGGCCCUGUGCUGGACAUCGCCUGGGAUCCCUUCAACGACAAUGUCAUAGCUUCAGGGUCAGAAGAUUGCGUCGUUAAAGUCUGGCAGAUCCCUGACCAUGGCCUGGUAACGACCAUGACAGAGCCGGUAGUUGACCUCGUCCACCACCAGCGGCGAGUUGGCCUGGUUCUAUGGCACCCGACGGCAAAUAAUAUCCUCCUCUCAGCUGGCUCAGAUAAUGUGAUUGUCAUCUGGAAUGUGGGCUGUGGUGAAGCUCUGAUCACCAUUGACACAGUUCAUCCAGACCUCAUCUAUUCGUGUAGUUUCAACUGGGAUGGCUCACUCCUCCUAACCACCUGCAAAGACAAAAAGAUCAGGAUCAUCAACCCGAGGGAUGGUGAAGUGUUUGAGGAAGCAACAUCUCAUGAAGGAAGUAAGGCCACGCGUGCCAUCUUCCUACGAAAUGGACUGGUCUUUACCACUGGAUUCAGCAAGAGAUCAGAGCGACAGUACUCUCUCCGUGCCCCAGGCCACCUCGAUGACCCCAUCACAAUGGUAGAGCUGGACUCUUCCAAUGGUGUAAUGUUCCCUAUGUAUGAUCCAGAUUCUAACCUAGUUUUCCUUUGUGGCAAAGGUGACAGUGUUAUCCGUUAUUUUGAGAUCACACCAGAAGUGCCAUUUGUCCACUACAUCAACACCUUCCAGUUACCAGAUCCACAGCGAGGUAUUGGCAUGAUGCCCAAACGAGGUGUUGAUGUCACCACAUGUGAAAUCACCCGAUUCUACAGGCUCAACAACAAUGGCUUCUGUCAAAUCAUCACCAUGACAGUGCCAAGAAAGUCAGAGUUGUUCCAAGAGGACUUGUACCCAGAUACCCCAGGAGAUAUUCCAGCAGUGUCUGCAGAAGAGUGGUGGGAAGGCAUCUCAAAGGAACCCAUUCUCAUGUCAUUAAAAGAUGGGUAUCAAGCCACACAAAAGUGUGAGCUCAAAGUUACCAAAAAGAAGACCAACAUCUUAGAUAAGAUGCCACCUACUGGGAAAGUGAAGUCUGAAGAAGAUGGAAAAGCAGUUGCUGUUUCUGCAGAAGCAUUGGAGAAGGUCAAAGAGGUCACCAAAGUCAAUGAUGACUUGCGGAAGAAGAUUGACGAGUUGCAGUCAGAGAUGAAGAAGUUCAAGGCAGUGUUCUUGAAACAAGAGAAUCGCAUUAGGGUCUUGGAGACCAAGCUUGGAGAGCUGACUUCUACUGGCGCACCCCAGACUCAACAGCAGGUUAAAAAAGUGCACACUAAGAACGUUAAGAAAUAAUUCGGAGGUCAAAAAUUGGAAUAGUGACAUAGGAGAUGGUGCCUGUCACUUCUUGUUACAAAAUUCACACAGUGAGGAAGCGGCCUGUGCAAGGGCACAUGGUGCAUGCCCCAAGCACUCUCUCUGCAAAUACGGUCAACAACAAUUGUGACAUGGCCCCAGACGAAGUGUAGAUUGCAGAAGCUACCAGAACUGAGUCCUUCUCAUACACAAAGUUGGUGAUGUCUGUGUGAAUUGUGAAGCGUUUUCACUCAUACCUUUGUAAAUUUCCUUACAUCACAUUAUAGUCAGUUACUAAGAUAAGAGGAGAGUCUUCUUGCAAGCUUGAUGUGCCCAAAGCACUUCUUGCUCAAGCAUCUCCCUGCUUAGUACACCCCAAUGAAGAGUAUGGCUCGAUGAGCAUCUUAAUAUUUCAGCCAUGUGGCAAACAUUCUUGAGAAAGGUUGUACUCUAUCCUUAUCCUUAAGGCUGUUUCUCAAGAGACCAGUGACUGUGGUGCAUUGAUUGUUUAUAGUCAUGUGACCCAAGUGAGUGUGAAGGCCUUGUAUAUAGUGUGUUUUAAGGACUGUCACAAGUCCAUUGCUCAGUAGUAACCAACCAGCUGACCCAGCCUAAGCCUAGCCAACUUCCUUCCAUUAAUAUCCUCAUUACUGGUUGUUGUAUGUUCACUACCCUCUAGGAUGCUAGUAUCCUUGUUCUGUUGCCCCAACUUAACUAGCUAACAGGACCUCAUCAGCAUCACAUUACUAAUGAUAACCCUUCAAUUAUUGUGAUCUCGGAUGUGAUUGUUAACAUUAAAUAUAAGUAUAUUUAAUAGGCAGUCAUUACCUGAAUCCAAUUAAUGUGGGAGGGGAAAUAUCUGCUGUACAAACUAUCUGUACAAAAUUGUACAAUAUAUAAUACUUGUUUCCUUACAAAAGUAGGUAGAUAGAUAAAACCAAAUGAUUCAGUAUAUUCUUGAUGUCGCAGGAAUUUCUGAAUCAAAAAUGUUUGAUGCACUGGCUCAGCUGAAGUUGCUGGCAGAUUUUAUUGAUCAGUACUACUAUCAUCAUCAUCAGUAUCAUUAUUUUUGUUUAUAUAAUCAUUAAUAUAAUAAGUUUCAUUGUUGAUUAUUUUUAUUAUUUUUUAUUAUUAUUUUAAAACAAUAAUUUUACUUAUUUGGCUCAGAGUAGUUCCUAUGCAGUGUCCGCUUAUUAACACCCACUAGUGAGGUUGAGUGUAGCUUUAUCUUCUAUAAUCAAUAGGUUGAACAUGUCCAUCAGGUUAUUGUUGCAGUGAAUUACAACUGCAGCUUCUUUUAGCCCAAAUUUUGAAGCUUGAAGUUUCUGUAGGAAGACCCCCAAAAAGAGAGACAGAGGGGUCUGCAGUAAGCCAUAUUGUCAGUGUUGGUCAGGCUACCUUGCUCCAUUACCAUGAUUUGACCUGACUCAAUGUUUCAGGAUUUGGGCUCAACUCUUCACUUCCUUCCAUUAUUCCUUGGUAUGAAUUUUAUACCCAGGACUAUUUGGUGAUUUAAACUACUAUUUAUUAAUUCUGUAUUUGUGUUAGACUAAUGCUUCUCAACUAUGAUGAGAAGAACUUGGAGCAGAGGCACACACCUGGUUUCUUCUGAGUUAACAGAGCCAAAUGUUGAAUGAAGGGUAUUUUAUGCUAUUACUAUUUUCAGAUAUUUUAGAAGAAAAUUGUAUAUUCACUGUUUUUGACUUAUUACUAUGUAUAUUUUUUUUUUUCUUUGUUCUUGUAACCCUGAUAAUGUAGCUUCAUUGCUUUCAAAAGACUCCCUUACAUUUUCCUUUGUCUUUGGCCAAGUGUCUUGUCUUGUAAUUGUUCCAGUAGAGGUGCUCAAAAUUAGCACAUAUUGUGUUUCUACAGCUUAUAAUGUCUCGCAGGUGGUAAAGUUUUAUUGUUGGGUUCCUAGAGUCACUUGUUGCUUAUGCCUGAACAGGGAUAUUGUUAGUCAUUUUGUCCUCUGUAAAUUCCUCUUCUCAUUCGUAAAUGAAAUUGUAAUGAUGGAGCCAUAAAAUAUGUGCAAUUGUUUAAGACAAAUAAAAAAGUCAGUGUUUUCUACCUACUUAAGAGGAAAUGUCCUUUAUCCCUUUUUUUUUCUUUUCUUUUUUUUUUUUUACUUUAAAAUUAUUCAUUUUGUCAUGCAAACUUAGGUAAGCUGUAGAUAAGAGAAUCCCUUGUUUUGUUGAAACCAAAGCCUUUGUUAAAUAGCUGUUGGGAUAAUAUACCAGAGCUAUAUAUUUGAUUUCUUUGAAAGUUUUCCUUGUUAUCAUACAAAGAGGAAUAUGCAAUCUUUUGUGUUUUAUGGUUUCCCACUAUACGUGAAUUUGAAGUAGAAAAAAUUUGAAAAUUGAAAGAGUGCAUUUUUUCUGAGGUGAUAACAUGCUUUGCAACAGUAAUUCUCUAUUGUUGUGUUCAGGAGUAAGGAGUGGGGUUGUGAAUCAUUCAACUGAACUAAAAACUUUCUUUUUCAGUUUAUUAUUAUUAUAUAUAUAUUUUUUGGUUACUUAAUAUGACUUGUGGUUUUAGCAACAGUAUGCAAAUCUUAUGAAUUUGUAAAUUUUAAUUUGACACAUCCUUCUCAGUAAUUUUCAAGCUCAAUUAAAAUACAAAUAUUAAAGUAUAUCAAAGAAAGCUAUAAUUUUUGAUUAUGCCAAUUAUUAAGCGUUGUUCAGCAUUUAAAGAAAAUGGUGCUAAGCUGUAAUUGUUUUAAAUGUAAGCCAUAGUAGUAUUCCUAAGAAUCUUAAUUGAUAUAAAAAUCCACAGGGCUUUGUCUCUGUGCCUUAAUACAGGGCAUGUUUUAGUGCUCUGCAGUUUUCAUACCCCACCCCUUACUAUUUGCUGCAUAACUGAUUAAGGACUUAUAUGUGCCAUUUUGAUAACUGAAGCUCGAAAUAUGUAAGGUUUAUUCAGCACAAGCCGGGUUUAAUAUGGAAUAUUCAAGGAACCCUAUAUAACUGACCCAUAAUUUUUUUUGAAUGCUUAAAUUUUAUACCAAUGUAGAUUGGAUAAUUUUUUUUUUCUUUUUUUUAAUUCUCUUAAUGCAACUGUUUUGUUAGCACUAUUUAUAGUAAAUCAAUAAAGUGAUUAGUUUGGGUUGUGUAAAUGAUGAUUGUAUAAAUUCAGAUUGAAGUAAUUUAUUGAAAGAGUUAUAAAGUUAUGUAACUUUCAUGCGUUGUAUUUGUUUCAUUAAUAUUUAAUACUUUAUUUACAACUUGGAAAUGACUUGUUAGUAUGUAGUAUUUAUUUACAAAAUUGUUUGCCAGUAAUUUUUAAAAGAAUUUACAUAGUGUUAACAACUGUACACAAUAUUUGCUUUUUAAAACAAAUUGAUUUAUAGAUUGCAUUCAUAUGACUGUACUGACAUCUCCAUGAACUAGGUCAGGGCAAAGCGGCCAUAUUACACAAAAGCAAGCAUUGGUCUAAUGGCUAGCAUAUUGCUGUACUUAAUGCACAAUUUUUGUAAUUGUAUUGAAAAUAAAUAGAAUUUUCUAGAAA